UACAGAGACUGCAAGCGUUAUUCGGAUUCACUGGGCGUAAAGGGUGCGCAGGCGGCCGCAUGUGUUAGGUGUGAAAUCCUGAGGCUCAACCUCAGAAUUGCGCCUAAAACUGUGCGGCUAGAGUCCCGGAGAGGGUAGCGGAAUUCACGGUGUAGCAGUGAAAUGCGUAGAUAUCGUGAAGAACACCAGAGGCGAAGGCGGCUACCUGGAAGGCGACUGACGCUCAUGCACGAAAGCGUGGGGAGCAAAAGGG
rnacentral:rRNA from 1 species